rnacentral:rRNA from 1 species
CCCGCUGAACUUAAGCAUAUCAAUAAGCGGAGGAAAAGAAACUAACAAGGAUUCCCCUAGUAACGGCGAGUGAACCGGGAAGAGCUCAAAUUUGUAAUCUGGCCCUUGGGUCCGAGUUGUAAUCUAUAGAGGCGUUUUCCGUGCCGGACCGUGUCCAAGUCCCUUGGAACAGGGUAUCAAAGAGGGUGACAAUCCCGUACUUGACACGACGACCGGUGCUCUGUGAUACGUCUUCGACGAGUCGAGUUGUUUGGGAAUGCAGCUCAAAAUGGGUGGUAAAUUCCAUCUAAAGCUAAAUAUUGGCGAGAGACCGAUAGCGAACAAGUACCGUGAGGGAAAGAUGAAAAGCACUUUGGAAAGAGAGUUAAACAGUACGUGAAAUUGUUAAAAGGGAAACGAUUGAAGUCAGUCGUGUUGGUCGGAUUCAGCCUGGUCUCCGGGUGUAUUUCCUUCCAACGGGUCAACAUCAGUUUGGAUCGGCGGAUAAAGAUGGAGGGAAGGUGGCAUCCUCGGAUGUGUUAUAGCCCUCUGUUGCAUACGCUGGUCCGGACUGAGGCAUGCAGCUCGCCUUUAUGGCCGGGGUUCGCCCACGUUCGAGCUUAGGAUGUUGACGUAAUGGCUUUAAACGACCCGUCUUGAAACACGG